GAUGAACGCUAGCUACAGGCUUAACACAUGCAAGUCGAGGGGAAACGACAUUGAAAGCUUGCUUUUGAUGGGCGUCGACCGGCGCACGGGUGAGUAACGCGUAUCCAACCUGCCCACCACUUGGGGAUAACCUUGCGAAGGUAAGACUAAUACCCAAUGAUAUCUCUAGAAGACAUCUGAAAGGGAUUAAAGAUUUAUCGGUGAUGGAUGGGGAUGCGUCUGAUUAGCUUGUUGGCGGGGUAACGGCCCACCAAGGCGACGAUCAGUAGGGGUUCUGAGAGGAAGGUCCCCCACAGUGGAACUGAGGCACGGUCCAAACUCCUACGGGAGGCAGCAGUGAGGAAUAUUGGUCAAUGGAGGAGAGUCUGAACCAGCCAAGUAGCGUGCAGGAUGACGGCCCUAUGGGUUGUAAGCUGCUUUUAUAAGGGAAUAAAGUGAGUCUCGUGAGACUUUUUGCAUGUACCUUAUGAAUAAGGACCGGCUAAUUCCGUGCCAGCAGCCGCCGUAA
rnacentral:rRNA from 1 species